rnacentral:rRNA from 1 species
GGCUCGAGGACGAACGCUGGCGGCGUGCCUAAUACAUGCAAGUCGAGCGAAUGAUUAGAGAAGCUUGCUUCUCUCUGAUUUAGCGGCGGACGGGUGAGUAACACGUGGGUAACCUACCCUAUAGACUGGGAUAACUUCGGGAAACCGGAGCUAAUACCGGAUAAUACUUCGAAACACAUGUUUUGAAGUUGAAAGAUGGUUUCGGCUAUCACUAUAGGAUGGACCCGCGGCGCAUUAGCUAGUUGGUGAGGUAACGGCUCACCAAGGCAACGAUGCGUAGCCGACCUGAGAGGGUGAUCGGCCACACUGGGACUGAGACACGGCCCAGACUCCUACGGGAGGCAGCAGUAGGGAAUCUUCCACAAUGGACGAAAGUCUGAUGGAGCAACGCCGCGUGAGUGAAGAAGGAUUUCGGUUACGUAAAACUCUGUUGCAAGGGAAGAACAAGUAGCGUAGUAACUGGCGCUACCUUGACGGUACCUUGUUAGAAAGCCACGGCUAACUACGUGCCAGCCGCGGC